ensembl:lncRNA
UUUUGGAAGCUUAAGUAAUCAGUCUUUGGCAGCAGCUCGAAUUUGGAGAGAGAGCAUUUAUGAGGUGCCUCCUAAGAGCACUGACCCAGGAGCCAUGGGCAAAAUAAAUAAAAUGGACAAUGAUCCCCAAGGAGAAAGCAGAGCACACUUGUAAUCGUUAGGAAAUAAGGUUCCAAUCAUGAUUUUUAAAAUAUGGAUAAAAGGGUAGAAACAAAGGGAUCAAAGAAGGCUAGAUUCAUCAGUUUUUGGUUUUGUUUUUGAGGAAGCAGGCUUUGAAAGGUGGCCAAAUCUAGUGAAGAGAAGAGCAAAAAGCACUUUGGAAACUGGAGAAAGUGUGACAUUAGCGGAGGGGUGCAGGAGGAGCAUGAAUAUUUGGGGUGGAAGCAUAACACAUGUUGGUGAGGACUGUGUGGACAACAGUAGGGAAGGGUUUGUAUCCUCAUGGAUAAAAGGCCCAGACUCAGAGACCAGGCUUGAAGCUAAAGCUGCAGGUCCAACCAUGAGGAAGAGGUUGUGCAGGUGCAAAGCACACAACAUGUGGUUGUUGUCACACUCAAUUUGAAUGCAGCUGCAAUGUCCCAGAGAGGAUCUUGGGGGCCUAGAGGUGGGGAAAUGCUUCUUAUACAAAACAUUAGAAGUGCAAAGCAUAAGGGAAAAGCUUAAUGAAUCUGAACACAUCCCACUCAAAGGGUUCUAUUCAAAGAAGAACAAGGUUAUGAGACAGAUGACAGAUUGGGAGGAGACACUUGCAAUGUCAAAAAUAACUAGGAAACAGUAUCUAAAAUAUGCAAGAACAGUGCAAAUCAACAAAAAUGAUGGAAACCCCCUCUGCUCAAAAAACAAAGGCCCAGAAGAGGCAAUUUGCAGGAGAGGAAACCCCCCCUGAGUAAUAGGCAUGUGAAGAGAUGUUCAAACUCAUUAGUAGAGAAAUACAAAUUAAAUAGCAAUGAGAUAUCACUUCUAUUCACUCAACUGGCCAAAAUCAGGAAGCUGGAUAAUGUCAAGUGGUGGCAGGGAUGUAGGAAUGUUGGAAUUCUUGGGCCUUGCUCAGGGUUUGUAGACUGGUACAGCCAAUUUGGAGAGCAAUACUUCAUCAAAUUAAAUGUACCUAUCUUCUAUUUCCCAACAAUACCACCCCUGGACAUGAAUCGUAGAAAAAUCCUUCCACACACCCUAAGGGACCAUGCAUGAAGAGACUUGCUGCAAUUCUUUCUGUGGCAGUAGGUGUCGUCCAUGGAGGUGGAGGAGCACAAGUGAAAAAGGUACACUCUGAAAUAUUUUAUCAGAGUUGGGAGGAACAGACUACAUACACACGCGGCAACAUGAAUGGAGCUUUGAAAGGAUAGUGUUGAGUCAAGAAAGUGAGAAGUGAUGAGCUAGAGGAUGUUUGUGUGCCUUCAAUGACAUGUGCCUUUAAACACUUUGUUUUUGCUAGAACACAUACUGAUAACUACAAACAUGGAACACAUUAGAAUGGUUGCCUAUGAGGGACAGGAGAAAAGAAAUGGGAAAUGGAGGCCAAUAAAAUAAAUGCCUGCCUGCAUGAAUGAAUGAGAUGGGGCUCUGAGGAGCCAAUGAUCCAGUGCAUCAUGAACUGAAGAGUGUGGUGAACCCAACCCUCUGCUUCUAAGAGCAAACUAAGCAGAACUCAAGUGCUACAUCCAUUGCCAAGGCAAUUCUAGACCUGAGUGUUAAGUAGAUGACUUAUGAGCAGUAGUAAAGAAAGUGAUACCAUGAAGAGUCUAUUAUGGGUU